UGGCUCAGGACGAACGCUGGCGGCGUGCUUAACACAUGCAAGUCGAACGGAAAGGCCCUUCGGGGUACUCGAGUGGCGAACGGGUGAGUAACACGUGGGUGAUCUGCCCUGCACUUCGGGAUAAGCCUGGGAAACUGGGUCUAAUACCGGAUAUGACCUUGGGAUGCAUGUCCUUUGGUGGAAAGCUUUUGCGGUGUGGGAUGGGCCCGCGGCCUAUCAGCUUGUUGGUGGGGUUAAGGCCUACCAAGGCGACGACGGGUAGCCGGCCUGAGAGGGUGACCGGCCACACUGGGACUGAGAUACGGCCCAGACUCCUACGGGAGGCAGCAGUGGGAAUAUUGCACAAUGGGCGCAAGCCUGAUGCAGCGAACCGCCGCGUGAGGACGACGGCCUUCGGGUUGUAAACCUCUUUCAGCACAGACGAAGCGCAAGUGACGGUAUGUGCAGAAGAAGGACCGGCCAACUACGUGCCAGCAGCCGC
rnacentral:rRNA from 1 species